rnacentral:lncRNA from 1 species
CUGGGAGCAACAACAUGGAGUCGUGGUCAGAUUUGCCAAAAGGAGGGCGAGGGAGGGCUUUGUAUGCGUCGUGGAAGUUAGAGUAGCAAUGAUCAAGGAAUUCUAGGUCAGGUGAACAAGAGGACUUGAUUUCCUGUAUGUUUUUAUGAACACGACCACGAUUUGUUAAUACAUCCCCGCCUUGCUUCUUACUAGAGCUGUUUGUUUCUGUCGGCGCGAUGCAUGAAGAAACCGGGGGGCUGUACUGACUCUGAUAACGUAUCCCGAGUGAGUCAUGUUUCCGUGAAACAGAGAAUGUUACAAUUUCUGAUGUCUCUCUGGAAGGCAACCCUUGCUCGAAUUUCGUCUACCUUGUUGUGAAGAGACUGGACAUUGGUGAGUAGUAUAUUCGGGAGCGGUGAGCGAUGUGCCCGUCUAUGGAGCCUGAUCAGAAGACCGCUCCGUCUGCCCCUUCUGCGGCGCCAUUGUUUUGGGUCGCCUUCUGGGAUUUGAUCCGUUGUCCUGGGUGGUGGUCCAAACAGAGGAUCUGCUUCAGGAAAGUCGUAUUCCUGGUCGUAAUGUUGAUAUGGCCACCUCCAGCAGUCUCCUGUCUGAAGACCAGUUCUUGUGCUCUGUCUGUCUGGAUGUGUUCACUGAGCCAGUCACCACUCCAUGUUGACACAACUUCUGCAAGGCCUGUAUAAGACAGUACUGGAAUAGCAAUGACCUGUGUCCAAUGUGUAAGGAGAAAUUCCACCAAAAUCCUGCGCUUCGCAUCAGUACUUUCAUAUCUGAGAUGGCUGCUCAGUUCAGGAAGUCAGUUGAAGGCCACCAGCAGCUGAGAUCAAUGCCCCGUUCAACCUAUUACAUGCACUGCUGCUACUGUUGAUUAUCUAUCCUGUUGCUUAGUCACUUUACCCCUAGCAAUGUGUGCAUAUCUACCUCAGUUACCUCAUACCCCUGCACAUUGACUCAGUACUGAUACCCUGUGUAUAUAGCCAAGUUAUGGUUACUCAUUGUGUAUUUAUUCCUUGUGUUAUUUCUAACAAAAUACCUUUUCUAUUUUUAUCUCCGCAUUGUUGGGAAGGGCCCAUAAAUAAGCAUUUCACUGUUAGUCUACACCUGUUGUUUAUGAAGAAUAUGACAAAUAAAAUUUGAUUUGAGC